UGCGCAGGCGGUGAUGUAAGACAGAUGUGAAUCCCCGGGCUCAACCUGGGAACUGCAUUUGUGACUGCAUCGCUGGAGUGCGGCAGAGGGGGAUGGAAUUCCGCGUGUAGCAGUGAAAUGCGUAGAUAUGCGGAGGAACACCGAUGGCGAAGGCAAUCCCCUGGGCCUGCACUGACGCUCAUGCACGAAAGCGUGGGGAGCAAACA
rnacentral:rRNA from 1 species